rnacentral:tRNA from 1 species
GCAUUAGUAGCUCAGCACUAGAGCGCCGGCCUUGUAAGCCGGAUGUCGAAAGUUAAAAUCCUUCCUAAUGUA